CGUUCCUUCGAUCACAAGAAUGUUCAAUGUGAUUUCUCAACGAAAGGAGGUUCUCGCCGCGAGCCUUUCUAGGAAACGACCAACGCCAUCCGGUUUGAUACCCUCCGGAAAAGUAUAUCGACGUCGAGACUAGAGCGUUAAUACACAAGGGGGAUGAAACAGCAUCAGACAGGUAAAGCUGUCGAGGUCGGUGCAUUCAGGUCAAUGGGUUGAUUACCUAUAAUGUAGUUACAUCCCUCGAGUAUCGUACGAGCCCUAACCGUUUAUGCCGCCCUAGUCGUACCUCGUCACCUCGUCCGAGCCAGGCUAAGACGUGUCACGUCGAAAAAAUCGCUCUACUUCUGCGCGUUAUUCUCCGAGGAUAAAUAGAACGAAUUCGACGACCAAGAGAAGAAGAAAGACAUCUUUUAGUGCAAGGAUUUUGCGGACUUUCGAAAUAGAUGGGAAGUAUUCUAAGAAAAGUAGGAUCGUCGAUGCAGCGAAAGCUAUGAACCGAUGCGAAGCGACGACGAGGGACCAAUGCCAAGAAAACCGAUGCAAGGAGAGAGGAAGAUCGUGCGAUUACGAGGAUAUUUCUCAAAGAAGAGAAAGAUGCUGCAACGACCCAGAAAGCUUGAUUCCAGAAAGUGCACACCCAGUAACUUCGGAUCCCUCCAAGGAAGUCCUCCAGGACCAGGACGACCCCAGGGCCAGGACUGCACAGACUAAGCACGCGCCGGCGAGGCAUAUUAAGCAGCUUCACCAGGAUUCGCUUCCGUUGACUAUGUACAACAUAACCGUGUCGGUGUACACCUACUAUGCGAAAUCGUUGUUUCGUGCAAGAACGCGUGCUUAUGUUAGCUACGUGCACUUGCAAGCUCGUGCAACGAGCUCGCUCCUCUUGGGAACUCCUAGCAAGUAGGAGGAAAGGCGUUUCCUCCAGAAAUCCUCUUUAUUGUUAUCUUCUAUGCAUCCUCUACAAGCUUCACCACAUGAUUUCUACAUAUGUUGCACUUUGAAUAUUAUACCUUCAAAUUUCGCACCAUUUUCGGCUAUAUCUAUGUAACGAACAUCUCUUCAAGAUUAUUUUCGUAUUCGAUUCGUAUAGUUCCUUUUUACUAUAAACUAUAUGAGAUAUCUCCCAAUAAGGAACUACAGAUUAGAUUAUAAUUCUCAUCGUUUAUCAAACGAAACGAACCCAUGAUUAUGUCCAUGGAACUCUUUACGCACGUUUGACUGAUAACGACCUGAUGUGCCGCACAUAAAUGUAAUCAUGUAAAACUAGACAUAUCCGAAAAUUAAUAUAACAUACAACGAACUGUAUUAAUCAUUUUCACGAUUAUUCUUAACCGAUCCCGAGAGAAAUUUAUAAUUAAAUCUGCCCGUGAUGGGUAAUGCACGGUAUAGAAUUUAAUUUGCUAAAAGCACGAUCGGCUAAUUUUCAUGAAAUAAAUGGUUUAUGUUUUUAAAUUUA